rnacentral:rRNA from 1 species
GACGAACGCUGGCGGCGUGCCUAACACAUGCAAGUCGAGCGGAGUUUAGCAGUUAGCUUGCUAACAGUUAAACUUAGCGGCGGACGGGUGAGUAACGCGUGAGGAACCUGCCUUACAGAGGGGGAUAACACAUCGAAAGGUGUGCUAAUACCGCAUGAAAUCAUAGUACCGCAUGGUAGAAUGAUCAAAGGAGUAAUCCGCUGUAAGAUGGUCUCGCGUCUGAUUAGCUAGUUGGUGAGGUAAUGGCUCACCAAGGCGACGAUCAGUAGCCGACCUGAGAGGGUGAUCGGCCACAUUGGGACUGAGACACGGCCCAGACUCCUACGGGAGGCAGCAGUGGGGAAUAUUGCGCAAUGGGGGAAACCCUGACGCAGCAACGCCGCGUGAAGGAGAAGGUCUUCGGAUCGUAAACUUUGUCUUCUGGGAAGAAGAUGACGGUACCAGAGGAGGAAGCCACGGCUAACUACGUGCCAGCAGCCGCGGUAAUCA